GGACGAACGCUGGCGGCGUGCCUAACACAUGCAAGUCGAGCGGAGGUACAAUGAGAGCAAUCGAGAUGUACUUUAGCGGCGGACGGGUGAGUAACGCGUGAGCAACCUGCCUAUCACAGGGGGAUAAGGCGGCGAAAGCCGCUCUAAUACCGCAUGAGACCCUCAAAGCGAUGCAAUGGGGGUGAAAGGAGCGAUCCGGUGAGAGAUGGGCUCGCGUCCGAUUAGGUAGUUGGUAGGGUAAGGGCCUACCAAGCCAAUGAUCGGUAGCCGGCCUGAGAGGGUGAACGGCCACAUUGGAACUGAGAGACGGUCCAAACUCCUACGGGAGGCAGCAGUGGGGAAUAUUGGGCAAUGGGCGGAAGCCUGACCCAGCAACGCCGCGUGAGGGAAGAAGGUUUUCGGAUUGUAAACCUCUGUUCUUGGGGAAGAGGAAGAGACGGUACCCAAGGAGGAAGCCCCGGCUAACUACGUGCCAGCAGCCGCGGUAAUACGUAGGGGGCGAGCGUUGUCCGGAAUGAUUGGGCGUAAAGGGCGCGCAGGCGGCCUGUCAAGUCAGUAGUGGAAGUCCAUUUUUCAAGGAUGGAAGUGCUAUAGAAACUGAUGGGCUUGAGUGCAGGAGAGGUUAUCGGAAUUCCCGGUGUAGCGGUGAAAUGCGUAGAGAUCGGGAGGAACACCAGUGGCGAAGGCGGGUAACUGGACUGCAACUGACGCUGAGGCGCGAAAGUGUGGGGAGCAAACAGGAUUAGAUACCCUGGUAGUCCACACUGUAAACGAUGAAUGCUAGGUGUAGGGGGUAUCGACCCCUUCUGUGCCGAAGUAAACACAAUAAGCAUUCCGCCUGGGGAGUACGGUCGCAAGAUUAAAACUCAAAGGAAUUGACGGGGGCCCGCACAAGCAGCGGAGCAUGUGGUUUAAUUCGAUGCAAACCGAAGAACCUUACCUGGGUUUGACAUGCAGGUGGUAGUGAAAUGAAAGUGGAACGACCUUGCAGCGAUGUAAGGAGCCUGCACAGGUGCUGCAUGGCUGUCGUCAGCUCGUGUCGUGAGAUGUUGGGUUAAGUCCCGCAACGAGCGCAACCCCUAUUGCCAGUUGCUAACAGGAGAGCUGAGCACUCUGGCGAGACUGCCGCCGACAAGGCGGAGGAAGGUGGGGAUGACGUCAAGUCAUCAUGGCCUUUAUGCCCAGGGCUACACACGUGCUACAAUGGCCGGCACAGACGGCAGCUUAGUGGCGACACUUGGCCAAUCCUCCAAAGCCGGUCCCAGUUCGGAUUGCAGUCUGCAACUCGACUGCAUGAAGUCGGAAUCGCUAGUAAUCGCAGAUCAGCAAAGCUGCGGUGAAUACGUUCCCGGGCCU
rnacentral:rRNA from 1 species